rnacentral:rRNA from 1 species
GACGAACGCUGGCGGCACGCUUAACACAUGCAAGUCGAACGAGAGAAGAGAAGCUUGCUUUUCUGAUCUAGUGGCGGACGGGUGAGUAACACGUGAGCAAUCUGCCUUUCAGAGGGGGAUACCGAUUGGAAACGAUCGUUAAUACCGCAUAACAUAAUUGAACCGCAUGAUUUGAUUAUCAAAGAUUUAUCGCUGAAAGAUGAGCUCGCGUCUGAUUAGCUAGUUGGUAAGGUAACGGCUUACCAAGGCGACGAUCAGUAGCCGGACUGAGAGGUUGAUCGGCCACAUUGGGACUGAGACACGGCCCAGACUCCUACGGGAGGCAGAAGUGGGGAAUAAUGCACAAUGGAGGAAACUCUGAUGCAGCGAUGCCGCGUGAGGGAAGAAGGUUUUAGGAUUGUAAACCUCUGUCUUCAGGGACGAAAAAAGACGGUACCUGAGGAGGAAACUCCGGCUAACUACGU